GGUCAUCUUGGACGGGAGGACCCAAGAGAGCUUGACCUGGAUUUUUUUUUUUUUUAAGAUUUUUAAAAUUUAUUUAUUCGACAGAGAUAGAGACAGCCAGCGAGAGAGGGAACACAAGCAGGGGGAGUGGGAGAGGAAGAAGCAGGCUCAUAGCGGAGGAGCCUGAUGUGGGGCUCGAUCCCAUAACGCCGGGAUCACGCCCUGAGCCGAAGGCAGAAGCUUAACCGCUGUGCCACCCAGGCACCCCAUUGACCUGGAUUUUUGAAACACCUUUUCGUUCAGGUUCAGAACUUCGUUGGAAUAAGAGAUGCAAAGAGACUCAAGCAGAGCAGAGCAAGCAACCUGAUGUCUUGCACGCUCAGCCCGCCUGUCAGAGUCCAGCCUGCCACAUGUGUUUAUGAACAGUGAGGGUGCGAGGACCAGUCCUCAGGUCACAGCGUGGAGUGGCGCCAAAGCCUCCAUCUGGGAUCCAGGAGACAGGCACUGAAUUCAGGAUCUGUGACAUGCCAGCCGGUGAGUGUGACCUCCGACAGCAUCUUCCUGCUCUGGGCCCUGGGUUCCUCCCCGUGAACGAGAGGGCUGGAGUCCUGGAUUCUGUUAUCCACUUCACCACUGUUCUUGACCAUCUGUGAUGUGCCAGGCACGUCAGGGAUACAGCAGUGGACAAAAUACAGUCCCUGCCAUCACGGAGCAUAUGCAGGGAGAGGGGCUCACCCAAACCGAGUAAAGCAGCAAGCCCGCAGGCAGCAGAUGUAAUGCGGGGGAGGGGAGCGUGAUGCAGAGCUCAGAUUGCUGGAGGGGAAUUAUGCCCCUCAUUCCUCACAGCCGCAUCCCUGCCUCACACUGGUUUGCCACCAGACCACUCCCUCCCGGCGCACCCUGGAGAGAAAGGUGGGGCCCUGGGGACAGCUUCUGGGGCUUGCAUGGCACAGCGGUGGGACUGCUGGAUGUUUAGGCUUGACCCCUGGCACUCGGGUCCGAAGGCUCUGUUGUCUUUGCUCUCGUUCCACCCCAGGCCUGCAAAAGAACAGCAGGCAUCUGUCCACUCAUCCACAGUGAACACCUCAUGCCAAC
rnacentral:lncRNA from 1 species